UUUCCCUCUGAUGUUUUGGCAGGAGUUAUUUUUUUUUUUUAGAUGUGGUGCUGCUGGUCACCAUAGACACUGCAGGUCUUUGAAGGCAGCACCGACACUCCUCAUUAACACUGGAGUGGGUGUCAACAGGUGAAGGUAAUUAGUACGAGGUUUUAGCGGAGUGAAAGGAAUCAGGGGAAGUUGGGCCAACUAUUUUUUUUUUAGCCUUUUUGUUUUCUUAGGUCAAUCCCUCAAGCUGCUGUUUGGGCUGAGGGUGCACAGAUGUGUCUUUGACUCUUUUUCAGACGGCACACAAGAGGUGGAGGCUGGAUCAGAGCUCUGAUUUUUCUGCCAUACAUUCAGACACUUUAGGUAAAGAGAGAAAAAUUGCCCACUGUAUACAGAGCCACUUCAGUAACUUGACCGGGCCUGGCCUUCGCUCUGUGUGCAGUGGAUGAGUUUGGCAGCAAGUGGGCUCCCAUUGAUGAUGAACUGGAGAGAGGGAGAGAAAAGCAGCAGGGGGCCUAAACACAGCACAGCCACCAACAAGGACCCCUGUCACUUGUGAUGUCACUCCUCUAAUCACCCACAGGGGGCGCUACGGAACCAGCAGAAAGCUGCGUGCUGCUCUUAUCUGGCCAGACCUGCUGCAGGAGCCAACCUGCAGUGCAUUAAACAAGCCACCACGACACACACACGCGCGUGCUCAUAUAAACAGAUACACGCAGAGCAGCGUGUGUGUGACUUGCUGUGGAGAUGAACAGAAUAAUGAGAAAGGAGCGACAGUCAGUGACAGUUAAAGGAAGGAGAGGGAGAGUUCAUCAGGAGGAUUGAUUGGUCCAUUGUAGUGUAUAUUUGUGAAUAAUUCAUCUCUGAGAUUACUUAGAAAAUGUAAUGCAUAUUUUCUCUCUAUAACCUGUGCAAGAAAGUGACCUGGAGAGUGGGAUUCAAAGAGUAAUGGUCUUAAUGGGAUUGUGUACGUUUGCUUUCAACAUGUUUAAUAGUAAAGAGCCAGAGAUUCAACACUAUUUGAAUAUGUUGCUAUUGGUUGUUUCCCUCAUUUGGGAAAUCUUGUAAUUAAAAUCGUCAAUGCUGGAAAUGCUAGUCGAUCAGGGUUUUUUGUUUUUUUUCUACUUGUUUCUUUGUGCAAAUGGACACAUAAGAGAAGUAGCAGUGCAUGAAACCUGUCAACUUUGCAGCCAUCUGAGUCAUGCCAACUGUGUGUGACAAGUGUCAAAAUGAAUGUGAUUCUUUGUCAGUUUCCAAAGUAGAAAGUUUUUUGUGUUUUUGGCAGGAAGAAUGC